ensembl:lncRNA
GUACUGGCCUUCUCCACUGUUUGCUGAGGAAGAAUUCCACUACAGUGGUGCCUCACUAGAUGAUGACCCCGCUAAAUGACAAAUCUGCAUAACGAUGACUUUUUGCGAUCGCUAUAGCAAUUCGCAAAACAGUCAUUUCAAUGGGUGAUUUUCACUUGACAAUGAUUUGGUCCGUUCUUCACUGGCCGAGCGUAAUUGGCACUUAUCUGGAGGCAGGGAAGGGCGCGGACUGUUGGCCAGUGAGCUUGCCGCCCGGGGUGCUGUUAAGGUAUAUAAUUUUUAUAUAGCCUGAACAUAAUAUGUGUGUGUGCAGAACAAGAUUAAGAUGACGUCAUUCCUUCAUCCCUGGCUGAUGCAAUUCUCUGCAAUAUGAAGAUUGCCACACCUGUGUGCAUGAAGUCACCUUAGACGGGAUUGGACCAGACUGANNNNNNNNNNNNNNNNNNNNNNNNNNNNNNNNNNNNNNNNNNNNNNNNNNNNNNNNNNNNNNNNNNNNNNNNNNNNNNNNNNNNNNNNNNNUGAACUACUGAAGUGCUGUAUGUAUGUAUAUCCUGUAUAUAUUUGUAAAUACACUGCUGAAAAGAAGAAGCUGUUGUCUGCGUUUAUCUGCGCUUUACUCUGCGAGAGACAAGAUAAAGUCACAGACGCACACUCCCUUAACAGAGGUUAUGCGCCCAGCAACGUUCCGCUGCGCUGCAAACGAACAGCGCGUUUAUAUUUUGCUAAGUUCUCUGAAUGACGAUUACUCCAUGCUAGUAACAAGUUUGGAAAGCAUGCCAGAAACUGAGCUUUCAGAAGAAUAUGUGACAAACAGAAUUCUCCAGGAGGAACAGCAUUUAAAACAGAGAAUGCUGAACAAAAAGGCAAGCCACGUGCGCGCUGACCAUGAGAGACAGAGAUACGCUGAUGGCAGCGUGCCCAGGAGGCGGGCAGACGGAGAACAAAGAGGAAGAGUGAUGAUGACGAAAGCCUGUUUCCUCUGCGGAUCCACCAAUCACCUGCAACGGAACUGUGACAAAAGCGGAAGUCCUCCAAGCAACAAAGAAGGCAGGAAGAAGUUCUCAAAAAGGUUUCAACAAAGAAACGACAUGAGGCCGGUCUCCUUGGUUACCAGAGGAACGAGGGACAAGGUUCCGGGCAGCCACACAGAGGCGUGGCUCAUAGACUCGGGCGCUGUCGUACAUUUGACAAAUAAUAAGGAUCUCUUUUGUCUUUUAGAUGAAACCAGCCUCAGAAGUGUGAUGAUGGCAAAUUCACAAGAGACGGCCGUUGAAGGACAAGGAACUGUUUACAUUCCUUCGUUGAAUACUGAGAUAAGUGGGGUAUUUUACGCUCCUGAAUUGUCGUUUAAUAUAAUAAGUGUAUCAGCGUUGGCUGAGCAAGGGUUCACUGUCACUUUUGAGAAACAGGAGUGUAUAAUUAAGAAAAAUGGUAAAAUAGUUGCAAAAGUGAAGCAAGAAAACAAUCUGUACAUGUUAAAGAGCCAGACACAUGAAAGUGCACAUGUGAUACAUACAAACAAACCACAACAUGAUAACUGUAUACAUUUACUGCAUAGGAGGCUGGGUCAUGUAAAUUUUAGAUCAUUACAGAAAAUGGAACAUUGUGCCAGGGAUAUAAACAUAAAGGAAUGCAAAAAUUACUUGGACUGUAAUGUCUGUAAAAGUAGCAAGACAAAUGUGGCCCCAAAAGGGAGGAAAAGUGACAGAGUCACAACCAGGCCAUUUGAAUUAGUUCAUGCAGAUUUAAUGGGACCAUUGCCUCCAUCAUUAGGAGGAGCGAAAUAUGCAAUGGUUCUAGUGGAUGAUUUUACAAGGUUUUCUUAUUGUUAUACACUAAGAUCUAAAACAGAAGUAUUUGAUACAUUUAGAAAAUGGUUAUUUUCAGUAGAGAGAAGAUUUAACCACAAGGUGGCGCAGUUGCAAACGGAUCGAGGUACAGAGUUUACAAACACUAGGUUUCAAAGAUGGUUAGAAAGUCUGGGAAUUAGACAUAGAAAAACGAGCCCAUAUAGCCCAUUUCAGAAUGGUGUUGCUGAGAGACGCAACAGAGUGUUACAAGAGAUGAAAAAUGCAUUGUUGACAAACCCCCCUGGCAGAUCUUUCAAUUAGCCAAGAUGGGCAAGGGUCGAGCGGCGUGGUGGUAGAACGGACAGAUCCAAGCACCCUGUCCACAUUCUCGGGUCUCAACAACUGAAAUUCAUCCAUUAAUAUUUGACCUAAGCACGGCACACUGGACACAUCUUCUGAUUUUGCAGUAACAGUGGAGUCCAGCCCACUGCGAAUCUGAGCAAUUUUCCCCCUCAAAAGGAAUAACAAACUCAUCACAGUGAGCUGAUGAGCAGUCCAGGACCCCCAUCGGAUUUCCCGGUUGAAGAAGA